CCCCCUCUCCUUUCUCCUCCCCUGUCCUUCCCUCCCCUCCUUUCCUUUCUCUGCAUUUGUCUCCAGGACUGCUUAUGCAGACACCUACAUUGGACUGCCAUAUCCUCUUUCUCUAUCUACAGUGGGAUGGUCUUCUGGUGCCAGUGCUCCCCAGGGACCCACUCCGUGUGAAGGACAUGAACUCUGGCACUAGAGUAGCUUUGUUUUAUGAAUCAAAUAAAAUUCUGCAUGGGCAAAUACUCGACACAGUUACUCCAAGCAAUUUUUAUCGUUGCUUUGCAAAGUACAAUACACAAGUCUGUCUCUAGGCUCCUGUGCUGGUCAAGCCCCACUCACUGUGGAAUUCCAAAGUUAGCAGGCUCCAGAUCUUUCCACCAAGAUCAACAAAGGAGUGCAGUCCAAGGGAACGUUGACAGCUUCCUACAUGCUUGAUACAGGAAAAACAAAGACCAGACAGCCAUAGAUAUCAUUGUGAUCUUCUUAGAAUAUUCUAGAGAAGGUAGAUAUAGACCAGACAGCAAACAUUGCCAUGAACAUCAACUCAGGAGAGGCUGUAAUUUUACUUUUUAUUCCUGCUGGUGGAGGUGAUCAGGGAAGCUUCAGAAAAGAGAUGUGAAGGUACUGGGCUUCAAGAUUGAUUAAAAACAUUCCAUACAUUUCCUAUGCCUAGAAUUCUGGCACAUUGAACGCCGAGGCAAAAGGAUGGUGAAUUUGAGCCUGUGGUGGACUACAUAUCAAGAUCCUAUCGUGGGACACAAAAGAAUGACUGAAUGUUUAAAACUUACAGGGGUCUGGGGGGUCACCAAUAAAGCUAGACUGGCUGGCCAGUGAGCUCCAGUGAUCUACCCAGGUCCCCUUCCCCAGCACCGGGGUUCCAAGCUCAUCUUCUCACAUUCAUCUUCUCUACCAGGGUUCCAGGGAUCAAACCCAGAUCCUCAUGCUUGCACCGCAAGCCCUCUCUACUGACUGAGCCCACAAGCCAGAUAGUUUGAACAGCUGCUGGGUGGCCUCUGUUGUAGGUGCCAGCCUUCUGUAGCUCCAUGGCCCAUCAGUCAACCCCCUGGCUCUACAGAACUACGAUGCUGUACUUCCUAUGUUCCCGCUGUGGUAGUUACUAUGACAGAAACACCCUGACCAAGAACACCUUCAGGAGAGUAUGCUUUAUUUCGGCCCACAGUUUGAGGGAACAGCCCACCGUGGUGGAAGGGAUGUAAGGCAGCUUGGUCAUCACUGUGUCCACAGCCAGGAAGCAGAGAGAGAUGAAUGCUAGUACUCAGCCCAUCUUCUCCUUGUAUGGACGACGCUGUUCAAGUGACUUUUACUUCUGCUACACCUCUCUGGAGCCACAUCCACCCCCAGGAGUGUCUCCUAAGUGAUCCCAAACCCGGUUAAGUUGAAAAUGAUGAGGAACCAGUAUGCAUCGCCGCCAUCCUGCCACCACGGCUCUCCUCCAAGCUGUGAACACCACAUCCCACUUUGGUGACUGUGGCGAGCUCCUAGCAGCAGAUCUUGAUUCAUUGGCUAGAAUCCUGGCAAGUCUGCACUUAAUCAUGUAUUGAUGGGAACUGAUCCUACUAACUGGCCAGCUUCGUGGCUGUGAGAACUUCGAUGGGAAUGCCAAAUACACUCCCAGCACCUCCAAGAAAAGCCCCGCGAGUCUUGAGCAACCACCCACAAUGUAAAAGGAAGACUCUUCAGGGCCUUUGAGGCGGUGCGCACUUAGAAUGUCUCUCGGGGGAAGGGGACUCUAGAACAUGGGACAUUGUUUGAGAUGAUUUGAAUUCUGAAGUCUUCUCUUGAGGAAUGUCUUCUGGAGUGGUGGCACUGGAGCCACACCAAGGAGCUGUCAAGGAAGAUCUGCACUGAGAGUAAGUGGGGCCGAUGGUGCAUUCUCCCAGGAGCAUGGCUGCCGUCUGGACAACGAUAAAGAGGUCCAGAGUCUGUCCCUACUAGGAUGCCAGGGUUCUCUACAACACAGAUUCAACGUGACGCAUUAGAAGAGACAGUCUUUAGAGCUCGGGAUGGUUAUCUCCCACAAGAGGAGGACGUCUUCCUUUGUAGAUCCGAUGCCUGUUCAUCGUGACUGUCAGUGGUGUUGACUUCUGCAAUGGGCUGGAUGCUUCCCUGAGAGCACAGACGCCAUCUCAUUUAAUCCCUUCCCCCAAAGCCUCAGGCAGGUUAUUGUCUUCAUUUAACCAACGAUCCUCGAAGGUGAUGUGCCUAGAUCAACUCCACAGAGCAAGAAUCAGAGCCCGGAAGCAGAUCCGCUCCCCAUCCCCAAGCUGGAGGAUGGCCACAGAAUGGCAAUCCAGAGCCAGGAUUAGAAUCUGACUUUUUUUUUUUAAUUUGAU